rnacentral:lncRNA from 1 species
ACUGUUAAAUCCACUUUUUUUCAUAACUUCUGUUAGUUUCACUGUGCCUCUGUUUAGUUUCUGUUUCCAGGAUCUGUCCAUUGAAGACAGUGGGGUGCUAAAGUCUCCCACUAUUAUUGUGUGAGGUACAAUGUGUGCUUAGAGAUAUAGCAAAGUUUCUUUAAUGAAUGUAGAUGCCCUUGCAUUUGGAACAUAGAUGUUCAGAAUUGAGAGUUCAUCUUGGAAGAUUUUACCUUUGAUGAAGAAGAUCAGCAGGAGUCUAGCAGACAACCUGAGCUGCAAGAUGUCUCCCAUCCCUCUGAUAUUUAUCUUUGGUGGUGUGCUCAUCAUCUGCCUGAUGCAACAAUACCUGGCGUAUAAGUCUUCUAAGAACGUCGUUAAAGUCUUCUGCCAUCAAGCCAAUGAUGUACAUAUAUACCAGACCCAGGUCGUCAUGACAAACACACUGGAAACCUCAAGUGGAAAAAGCCACCCACUGGGUCGUUCAGGAGAGAUCCAGUCUUUAAAGAAGCAAAACUAGAGACCAAAAUAAGUCCUCUUCCUUCUAGAUGUGCAUCAUCUGCUUCUUCCUUCCCUAGAAGACUGAGGGAGCUAUCUUUCACAGAGUGUAUUCAGUGGUAUACGUGGAGCUCAGAAGUAGACACUUGCCUUGCCUCUAUUAGGACUUGAUUGAACCCAAAUACCACAAAAUUCUUUCUCUCUGCUGAGAAAAUGGAAAUUUAAGAUGGGAACCAAGCACUGUGUGGUCAACAUCCAUGAGCAUGGUUUAAUAUACAUACCAUGUGCUUGUUUUUCUGCUUGUGAACUUGUGAGAUAGAAAAACUCCCAAGUCAUCCACUUUUACUUGUUAUCAUUCAGUCACAUAAUAAAUUUCGAUUGUGCACUUGAUA